CUGGCCUCGAACUCACAGCAAUCUUCCUGCCUCAGGCUCUUGAGUGCUGGGAUUACAAGAGUGUGCCACCACGCCAGGCUUCCCCUUCUCCUUGACGCCGACCAGCCACACUCUCAGCCUGGAGCUUUGAGUCUCUAAGGUGCGGAGAAGGCGGAAGUUGUUGACAGUGACAUGGGAGAAACUGAGUGUCCGUGGUGCAGGCUGCAAGUGUCAGCGUGGUGACGGCACUGACCACAUCCACUGCAGCCUGUUCCCACCUGACCCGUGCUCCGCUUCUGCCUGGACAUUUUCUGUGCCUGUGUCCCUGGCCUUUCUGAUGGGCAGGGGGGCCCUGACAUCCUUCCAGCCAGUGUUGUUUUGCAGAGUUGCAUCUGAGACUCACGAAUGGCACAAAUGCAUCCUGCUCCAGGCGAGCUCAUUGUUUGGCUCUCUGAAGCCUUCUGCUCAGUGAUCUGGACUGAAAAAGAUGGCUCUCCCAGCUCUCCAGGCCCCAUAUCAGAUGUUCAAGUCCUUAAACCCUCUUCUCUCGCUGUCCACACGCAGUCACCAAGUCCUAUGGGCAAGGAUCUCCUGAAAACGUUUCCUGGUCUCCACAGCCUAAACUGCCAUCCUCUUUGCCUAGAAUCUUGUAGUUGCUCCCAAACCAGUGUCCUUGCUCCCUAAUCCCUCACUCAUGCAGAUCCAGAGCAAACUGUGCCACUCCUUUGCUUACAGCCUUACAGUGUUUGUGUUGCUCUGAAGGUUAAGUCCACAUCACCUUGCAGUCCCUAACCAAAUAGGCAGAGCAAUAGUGACCCGUGGGAAAACUACACGUGGCCUAAUCUCCUUGUACUUGGGCUCUCUGAGGAAGGGAGAGGACAGGAAAAUAUUUGGAGAGAUAACAGUGAACAAUUUUCAAAUUUGAUGAAAAGUAUGAACUCACAGAUCCAAGGUGCAUGAUGAAUCCCAGGAGACAUGAAGCAAUUGCACUAAGACACAUGAUCAAGUGGCUGAAAACAGGUGGCAAACAGAGAAUCCUGAAGUUCAACCAGAGAUGGAAACAUCUCAUUCUGAAGAUAUGGAGGACAGCAGAUUUCCUGCUGGAAACUAGGCAAACCAGAGGACAGUUGGGCAGCACACUUCAAACAGUGAAAGAAAACAUCCUCAACUCAUGAAAACCUCCAUAGAAAAUGAAGAAGAAUAAAGUGAACAGAAUUCGUCUCCAGCCAACUUGCACUAUAAGGAAUAUUAAGAGAAGUCCUUGAGGCAGAGGAAAAUGGGGCUGGGUGGAAAUUUAGAUCUGUGCAAAGAAAUAAGGAGCCCCCAAAAUGCUAAUUAUGUGGGUAAAAAUCCUUAUUUAAACUUCUGUAAAAUGUAAUUGUUUAAGUAAAGAAAGGAACAGCAUGUACUGUGGAGUUUAUAACAGGCAGAAGUCACGUGAUUGCCAACCACAGCAUAGGAGGCAGGAAGUGUGAGAGAGAAGGGCUCUGCUGCAAGGUUCUUAUGCUCUAUGUGAAGCCGCUCUAUGCGCUUGAGGAAGGGUGAGAGUUAAAGAUGCACCGUAUAAACCCAGAGCACCUGCUAAAACCACAGAACAAAAGCUAUGGCUAAUAGGUCAACAGAGGAGGGAUUCCAAUGGUGUGGGAGAAAGCUUUUUCGAAUGCUGGCUCCGAUCAUUAUAGGAUCAUGGUGAUCACUUCGGGGGCCUUCCAUUUGUCAAACCUCACUAACACCCUUCAUUUAUGCCAAUUAUAUUUCAGUCAAGCUGUUAAGAAAAGGUGUCUCUUCAUGGCAGGAUUAGGGAUCACUUUUAUUUUCUUCAUUAUCCAGGAUAAAAAUGAGAAGGAUAAUGUGAAUAAGC
ensembl:lncRNA